UACGUAGGGUGCAAGCGUUAAUCGGAAUUACUGGGCGUAAAGCGUGCGCAGGCGGUUGUGCAAGACAGAUGUGAAAUCCCCGGGCUUAACCUGGGAACUGCAUUUGUGACUGCACAGCUGGAGUGCGGCAGAGGGGGGGAUGGAAUUCCGCGUGUAGCAGUGAAAUGCGUAGAUAUGCGGAGGAACACCGAUGGCGAAGGCAAUCCCCUGGGCCUGCACUGACGCUCAUGCACGAAAGCGUGGGGAGCAAACAG
rnacentral:rRNA from 1 species